rnacentral:rRNA from 1 species
UACAGAGGGUGCGAGCGUUAAUCGGAAUUACUGGGCGUAAAGCGCACGUAGGUGGCGACGUAAGUCAGGUGUGAAAGCCCCGGGCUCAACCUGGGAAUUGCAUUUGAGACUGCAUAGCUAGGGUGCGGAAGAGGGAAGCGGAAUUUCCGGUGUAGCGGUGAAAUGCGUAGAUAUCGGAAGGAACAUCAGUGGCGAAAGCGGCUUCCUGGUCCAGCACCGACGUUCAGGCACGAAAGCUAGGGGAGCAAACGGG